rnacentral:rRNA from 1 species
AAUUUUGGACAAGGGGGGAAACCCUUAUCCAGCCAUCCCGCGUGUAUGAUGAAGUCCUUCGGGUUUUAAUGUACUUUUGGCAGAGAAGAAAAGGUAACUCCUAAUACUAGAUAAUUCUGAAGCUCUCUGCAGAAUAAGCACCGGCUAACUACGUGCCAGACACCGCGGUAAUACGUAGUGUGCAAGCUUUAAUCGGAAUUACGGGGCGUAAAGCGUGUGUAGGCGGUUCGGAAAGAAAGAUGUGAAAUCCCAGGGCUCAACCUUGGAACUGCAUUUUUAACUGCCGAGCUAGAGUAUGUCAGAGGAGGGUAGAAUUCCACGUGUAGCAGUGAAAUGCGUAGAUAUGUGGAGGAAUACCGAUGGCGAAGGCAGCCCCCUGGGAUAAUACUGACGCUCAGACACGAAAGCGUGGGGAGCAAACA